UUAUGUGAUGUGUACUUACCCUUCAAUAAUUUUAAUUAUCUCCUUCAUAAUCCUCUUUAUAUCCGGAUACAUUUAUUUAAAAUCAAAAGAUAAAAAGUGCAAAGAUUGCGAAUCAAUAAAAGGAUUUUGCCCGAUUCACUCAAAUGGGACAUGCCAAACCCAUUUGUGUCAACACCCGUAAUCAUUAAUGCAACUUUUAACCUCUUCCGGUUAACGUCAAAAUAUUAAACGUCAAAACAAUUCGUUAGUGGCGCGAACAUUCAACAGGUGACCGCUACCGAAACUAAAUUAACCCCGUGACGUCACAUAAAAAAAUGGCUACGAAUUACGAAUUUUAUUUUCGCGAUUUUACCCCGAAAAAUCACCAAGCACCGCGAAAAAUCGUUCCUGGGGGAUGAAUCGGGACGCGAAGAACACGUUUCGAACACUUUUAACAGUUAAAUCGACGAUUUUCCCGGAAAAAUCACGAAAAAUUCACCGCACGUAAACAAACCCGCAACAAGUG